rnacentral:rRNA from 1 species
AUACGUAGGUGGCAAGCGUUGUCCGGAAUUACUGGGUGUAAAGGGCGUGUAGGCGGGGAUGCAAGUCAGAUGUGAAAUUCCGGGGCUCAACCCCGGCAAUGCAUCUGAAACUGUGUCUCUUGAGUGCUGGAGAGGAAAGCGGAAUUCCUAGUGUAGCGGGGAAAUGCGUAGAUAUUAGGAGGAACACCAGUGGCGAAGGCGGCUUUCUGGACAGUAACUGACGCUGAGGCGCGAAAGCGUGGGUAGCGAACAGGAUUAGAUACCCUGGUAGUCCACGCCGUAAACGAUGGAUACUAGGUGUAGGAGGUAUCGACCCCUUCUGUGCCGGAGUUAACGCAAUAAGUAUCCCACCUGGGGAGUACGGCCGCAAGGUUGAAACUCAAAUGAAUUGACGGGG